GGCACACUGCCCUCAAUGAUACCAGCCCUGAACUGGAAAGACACUGUCCCUUAUGGAGCGAGGAGCUGUGUCAGCCCUGCUGCGUCCUGCACAAAGGACAGAGUAUGUAGAAAAGAGUUUAGGCACCUGACUGGCACAUGCUGCCUUCCCCCCUCCACUCCCCAGCCUGGAUUUACAUUCUUGGCAGAAGCUGUUCCUUCAAUGCAAUUUGUCUAGCAGCACUGAAUUUCAUAAGAACGGCUGAGUGUUUUGCAUUUUUUUGUAUUUAGUGAUGUGUCGCCUGCUGGAGAGAAAUCAACAUCCCUCUGGGAGGAAAGCGGGGCCCAGGCAGAUCUGCUGCAAAGAACAUAAAAGCACUAAAGAGUGAUGAUUAGAGGAUAAGUUUGAUCUAUACAGCUCCUGGAACUGCAUCUGCUAGUGCCUGAGGAUGGACUGCAAGCAAACCAAAAGGGAUGAGAAUUCUCAAUGCAGAGCCCAGCAAGCACUGCUUGGAACAGGUUCUUUGCAAACACAGCCCCAGAAGGUGUCAUUUGUGCUAAGCCGCUGGAGCAGAUCAGCUACCUGAGGAUCCUGAGUCUGCAGCAAAGAAAUACGCUGGGCUGCACUGUGGCGGCCCUGGUAUGCCCUGUAUCAGGAGGCACGUUCUGGAGGAGACCUACACAUACUUUAGUACACAACGUCAGGAUCCAACUUCAAUAAUUACUUCAGGGGUAUUGCUGAAGCGAACACCAACCCACCUAAGUUUGAAUCUAAAGA